AACGAACGCUGGCGGCAUGCCUAACACAUGCAAGUCGAACGAGACCUUCGGGUUUAUUGGCGCACGGGUGCGUAACGCGUGGGAACCUGCCCUUAGGUUCGGUAUAACUCCCCGCAAGGGGUGCUAAUACCGGAUCAUGUCUUCGGGCCAAAGAUGUAUCGCCUUUGGUUGGGCCCGCGUUAGCUUAGCUAGUUGGUAGGGUAAAAGCCUACCAAGGCCACGAUUCAUGGCUGGUCUGAGAGAAUGAACAGCCGCACUGGGAAGGAGACGCGGACCAGACUCCGACGGCAGGCAGCAGUAGGGUAUAUCAGACAACGGACGAAGGUGGAGACAAGCAAUGUCGCGGAUGACAUGAUUGCGUUAGGGUAGUAAAGCGCUUUUAGCCGCGAUGAUAAUGACAGUACCGGGAGAAUAAGCACCGGCUAACUCCGUG
rnacentral:rRNA from 1 species